UUUCUAGCCCAGAUCAGCACAGAGAGCCAGCCAAAGGCCUCCAGGGACUCAGCAGCGAUCCAGCUAGGAAGGCACAUCUUUCCAGCAUGAAGACUGAGCUGGGGCUUAUGGCUAAGUACAGAGCAAGGAACAGGUAUGGGGAAUUCCAACUAAACUUGUGCCCAAGCUGCUCUGGUUUUGAGGCUAUGCGCGUGGAUGUUUUGGAGUCAUUUUCUUCGGAGCUUGUACUCUGAGCGUCUCUAUCGCCACAGCAGCCUUGCAUGGGAAUGUGCUCAUCACACAUGAGAAAAGGAAAGGCAGAAAUUACUUUCACUGAAGAGAAGAUGAAACAGUAGUGACUAAUUUCUGG